rnacentral:rRNA from 1 species
GACGAACGCUGGCGGCGUGCUUAACACAUGCAAGUCGAACGGAAAGGCCCUGCUUUUGUGGGGUGCUCGAGUGGCGAACGGGUGAGUAACACGUGAGUAACCUGCCCUUGACUUUGGGAUAACUUCAGGAAACUGGGGCUAAUACCGGAUAGGAGCUCCUGCUGCAUGGUGGGGGUUGGAAAGUUUCGGCGGUUGGGGAUGGACUCGCGGCUUAUCAGCUUGUUGGUGGGGUAGUGGCCUACCAAGGCUUUGACGGGUAGCCGGCCUGAGAGGGUGACCGGCCACAUUGGGACUGAGAUACGGCCCAGACUCCUACGGGAGGCAGCAGUGGGGAAUAUUGCACAAUGGGCAGAAGCCUGAUGCAGCAACGCCGCGUGCGGGAUGACGGCCUUCGGGUUGUAAACCGCUUUCGCCUGUGACGAAGCGUGAGUGACGGUAAUGGGUAAAGAAGCACCGGCUAACUACGUG